CUAUUUUACUGGUCAUCAUGUCAGACCAAACAGAACCUGCAAUGUCAGCAGAAUUAAAAGCCUGGUUUCAAGCUGCAAUUGCAGACUCUAUCCCCAAAGCCUUGGCAACGUUUCGUGACCAGACAGCCACUACUGCCACCAUCACGCAAUUGUCAGACUCGGAUGAUUCCAGGGUCUCUGACCAUGACGAAGUCCCACGUAAGCGCCCUUGGAAGGGUAACAGUGCUUCUGCUGGCUAAGGCAAAGCCCCAGCAAAG